AUUGAACGCUGGCGGAAUGCUUUACACAUGCAAGUCGAACGGCAGCACGGGGGCAACCCUGGUGGCGAGCGGCGAACGGGUGAGUAAUACAUCGGAACGUGCCCAGUCGUGGGGGAUAACGUAGCGAAAGUUACGCUAAUACCGCAUACGAUCUACGGAUGAAAGCGGGGGACCGUAAGGCCUCGCGCGAUUGGAGCGGCCGAUGUCAGAUUGGGUAGUGGGUGAGGUAAAGGGUCACCAAGCCGAGGAUCUGUAGCUGGGCUGAGAGGACGACCAGCCACACUGGGACUGAGACACGGCCCAGACUCCUACGGGAGGCAGCAGUGGGGAAUUUUGGACAAUGGGCGCAAGCCUGAUCCAGCCAUUCCGCGUGCAGGACGAAGGCCUUCGGGUUGUAAACUGCUUUUGUACGGAACGAAAAGGCUCUGGUUAAUACCUGGGGCUCAUGACGGUACCGUAAGAAUAAGCACCGGCUAACUACGUGCCAGCCGCCGCUGUAA
rnacentral:rRNA from 1 species